ensembl:lncRNA
GAGCUAACUGAUGUAAUAUUCCAUCUGAUUGCAAACACGUGGAGAUUAUUUAUUUGUUUGUUUGUUUGUUUGUUUCCCUCAGUAGAAUAAAGAGAUUUUCAUUGUUUGUGAGGUGGACGUGUGGAGUAAAGAUGUAGAUAUUUUCAGAUGCCUGAAGAUUCAAAAGUCUCCUUAUACAGUGCAAGUCUGCUUUUCUCCUGCUGCCAGAGAGAGGUGAACAUAGAGCAAUAACUGCAGGAUAAAGGAGUACCAGAAUGUCUUUGUAACAUUUCUAUCAUUGGUCCUGUGGAUGAUCCUGAUUUCAUUACAGCACUUGAAGAUCCUCUGAGAACAUAACUAACUCUACAGCAUUCUAGUGAUUCUGUAAAAUCUAUCUGCUGCUUAGCUAGAUAGAAAAUACAGCCUGCAAGAUGAUGCAUAAAUACAUGCAUCAUCUUAUUCUUGGUUAAAUUGCAGUAGUGUCUAGUGCAGAUACAUAGUUGAUGAUAUAGAAUGAUGACUUGGUGAGUCAAAGCAUUUUUAAAUUUAUCUGUUCCAGAAUUUUCUCAAGUGGACUCGACUCUCCCAUCUUAUCACUUACGUAAAAUCAGGAACUUCUCUACUGAAGGUGAAUCGCAUGUCGUGUAGGGAAAAUGAAGAUAGGAGAAUUAUUGGUUAUUAUUCUAUUCUUGUUUGAUCAAGGCAAGCUAUGCUAUGGAAGACAGUGGAGUUAUAUCUGUCUAAAAAUGGUCAGAUAAGGAGCAAUUAUAUGUUAACUAUUUAAAAACAAAUCCAUGAUGCUCUACACUAAGACACUUAAGACAUUGUAUACAAUCUCCUGAAACCCCUGAUUUUCCUCUUGAUAAGAUCUCCUGCUAAUAUGGGUAAAAGCAGUAUUUACUUCUGUUCUUCAGUUCCAUUGAUUUUUGGUUGUCAACAGUAGAGAAAUAUACUGCGUUUUAGACACAUACAUACCCCAAUGGAUGUGCCUCUAACCAAUUUGUGUGUAGACUGUUGGCACAAGUAGUUAUUUCUUCAUUAUAGAAAAUACUAAACUCUGAAGUCAGAUAGCUAAGAAUUGAGUGCUGCUAGAAUUUCAUUGUUGAAUACACCACUUUUUGUUGUUUAAUGCAUAUUUGUAUACAGUCUAUUUGGCUCCUGUGUAGUUCAACUGGAGAGUUCUGUCUUUUUUCUUUCAUUGUGCUGCAGCGGUGAAAAAUUUUAGUGGAAAUUAGCUGAAGGUUUGAAAACCACUCCAUAUCAUUAAUCUGUCCUAAUUUAUAUUGGCUCAUUACAUUUUGCACUGUAGCUUUCAUUUUGUUUUGGGGUUUGAAUUCCCUUGGUCAUUAGUAGGUUAAAAUGUGGUUUUCACUUUUUGUUCUAGUAGUCUAUAUUCUGUUUCUCCAAACACAUAGCAUAUGCAUACAUAUGUUCCUAAAGAGAAAUUAUCAUUCAUCUUCCUCCUUAGCAUGCACAUUGUUUAAUUAUGUAAAGACAGACCGAAAUGACAUUCUGAGGCUUUUCAGAUUUUGGAUGAAAACUGAUAUCUGUAUCAUUGGAGCCAGUAAGUAUGUGCAACACAUUAAGCUAGUUUAAGUCUUAAUCUGUCUUGAAGUGUAGACAUCUGACCAAGAAAGCAAGAUUUACUGGUUGAUUUCAAUGUGAAAUAUUGGUGUAAACUGGUUUAGUCAAACAGGACUUAUAUCUCUACAUUUAUUGCUAUAUUGGGUAAUCUACUAUUGAGAUUACUAGCUUACUACCUGCAUUCCAGGCAGUCAUAGAGGAUUUGUAUGAAAAAAAGAAAUACGUCUGAGAAAAUAAUGUAUUGCAUAAUAUUGUGGGUUUUGUUACUUUAUUUGCCUUUGUUUAUUUAUGCUACUUGUAAACAUUGGUGAUUUGACAUUGCUAAUGUCUAUAUAGUAAUUUUUUAAUUGUAGUCUAUCAGUUCUUCCUGAUCUGCAGAGAAGUUUAUAUUGACUUAGGCCAAGCUCCCUCGUGAGGGACAGGCAGUUUUUUGUUGUUGUUGUUGUUUGUUUGUUUGUUUUCAGCUGAUGUAAUGCUGUACUUAAACUAAUAAGCUAAACUAAAAUAGGCAAAGCAUGUAUCUUCCCUCCUUUAUUCUUCACAUCAUUCUGGAGAAAUCUUGAGUAUGUCAACAACUGAAUGUGCAGAACUUACAGUGUGAAUUUGACCUUUGUUCCAUAUGUGUCCAAAACAAAUAAAAA